rnacentral:rRNA from 1 species
AGCAGGGAAGAAGCGAAAGUGACGGUACCUGCAGAAGAAGCGCCGGCUAACUACGUGCCAGCAGCCGCGGUAAUACGUAGGGCGCAAGCGUUGUCCGGAAUUAUUGGGCGUAAAGAGCUCGUAGGCGGCUUGUCACGUCGGUUGUGAAAGCCCGGGGCUUAACCCCGGGUCUGCAGUCGAUACGGGCAGGCUAGAGUUCGGUAGGGGAGAUCGGAAUUCCUGGUGUAGCGGUGAAAUGCGCAGAUAUCAGGAGGAACACCGGUGGCGAAGGCGGAUCUCUGGGCCGAUACUGACGCUGAGGAGCGAAAGCGUGGGGAGCGAACAGGAUUAGAUACCCUGGUAGUCCACGCCGUAAACGGUGGGCACUAGGUGUGGGCAACAUUCCACGUUGUCCGUGCCGCAGCUAACGCAUUAAGUGCCCCGCCUGGGGAGUACGGCCGCAAGGCUAAAACUCAAAGGAAUUGACGGGGGCCCGCACAAGCGGCGGAGCAUGUGGCUUAAUUCGACGCAACGCGAAGAACCUUACCAAGGCUUGACAUACACCGGAAAA